CUUUACUGCUUUGUAUUAACAAAAUCACAUGGGGCUUUCUUGGGGUGUCUUUUCGCCAUGAUCAGAGUAAUAAAACUUUUUUCUUUUGCAGGUACUUGUCGGUCAUCGGAUUUGUCAUCAAUAUCGACGUGUGAUGCUGAUGAUUUCUGAACUGCUUGGAGCUCCUAUUUAAUUCAAUCAGAGCAUCAGGCGGCUGGAAUAACAAUCCAUCUUCCGCCGGCUGAUGGUUCGGUGUGGUGUCUCACCUGGUGAGACAGGCAAUGUGGCAGCCCAGGAUAACACUGUGUCCCUGUCUGCUGUGGAGUUGUCCUCUCCUGAAACUGCGGAAGAGCACCCAUCUCCAUUCGCCAACAUUUGGCCCUUGUGUGUGACCACAGUUAUCUCCCCACUCGGUUUGGUGGUCUGGUGGAAAAUGCUCUGGUCUACAUAGCAGGGUGCUGAGAGCUGCAGAGGGGGUGAUCCGCCAA